GCGUGGAGAGGCGUGUGCUGAUGGGUGACCUUUGCCCAGAUCUGACGCCCGGCCUGGGGAGCCGUGUGGGGACAGGAGGCAAAGCCGCCUUGGUGAGAAGAGAACCCUCGCUUUGGGAUGCCCUUCCGGCCGCAGCCCCUCCUCCCAAUCCCCUCUCCACCCUCUGCAUCCCAAAAUCCGUCCAUACGAAUUCGAGACAAUCUUUGCAAAUCUCUGGAGUUCCGUGGCCACGUCUUCGGAUCCUCGGGGUUUCUCCGAGGAUCCGAUUAGAGUCUUUGCAAAGACGGACUGACGCAUGCGUUGCACGAGUCGAGCCGGACGCAUGACGGGGAUGGAUGAAUUUUAAGCAAAGCAGUAGCGAGUUCGUGGUGUAGAGGCACAAGAUUUGGUAUGCCCUGGUCGGAGCGAUUGAUAAACGGCGAGCUUAUUUUACCUAUGGCAACGCAUCUGGACGGGUUUCACCAAUCCUUCAACCCGCCCACCGUACCACGUCAACACGUAAUGGAUGCGCCUUGUUCACUUGCGGCCGCACCUCUGCAGUUGUCCCAUCAAAUAAAAUACAACAGUGGAUAGCGCCAGUACUGUGCACUGCGAAGCUAUUUUUUUACACGAGCCUACCGGAAGCAAACAUGUCGUAGCAGCUCGUGACGUGCAGAAGCUGAAGUGGCAUCUCAGCGUGUCAGGUUGCCCGUGACGCCGUGGAUGUAAGCAAAGUCGUGGCCAGUUUUUUUUUUUUUUUGAAA